UCAAGGCUUCCCUCCAGCACUGGUGGCCCCUGCACAUGGAGGCUUGGAUUUGGCUAUUUCUCCAAACAGAGCCAAGGCAUCACUGAAAUCCCUGAAGAGACAAUCCAUAUGGAUCACCAUCUCCUGUAUCUGAUGCCAGCAGCAGAAAGGCUCCUUUCACCAUGGGCCACCAGCAUGGGCUGAUGUGCAGAAAAGGCCAGGCACAGGUGCAGCUCCAGCUCCAUGAGCUGAGGAUUGGGAAGGAUGCCCUGAAACUGUCAGAGAGCAUCACUUGGUGCUGCCACACCCAGGCCCUUGCCUUCUUUUGUGGGAGGCCCAUUGCCAAGAAAAUAUCAGCUCCCAGCUCACAGGAAUGCAGAUAACUAAUUGGAAUAAUUAAUUAAUUAAAUGCAGAUAUCUCUUCCCUGUGAGUGUGGUGAGGCUCUGGCACAUCCCAGAGAAGCUGUGGCUGCCCCUGGAUCCCUGGAAGUGUCCAAGGCCAGGUUGGAUGGGGCUUGGAGCAGCCUGGGCUAGUGGAAGGUGUCUCUG